rnacentral:piRNA from 1 species
UAGCAGGGUGUAGAUUGGCAUGGU